CUGACUGUGUGGCUCGCAUUGGAGCGCCCGCGUCUGUCACUCCGGCCCUCGCCUGCACGGUAACGCGCACGGUGGGAGCUCUGAUCACCCGCCACCUGGAUGGGUGCCCCAGGGGCGACAGCUACCCCGGGGGAAAGGCCUGAGAGCGGUGUGGCCGGGGUCGUGGGAGCCCCGCACCUCUGGCGUCGAGGUGAAGGAUAGCUCCGGCGACGGACUGGUCUGUCCAGAAAAUAGUUGAAGAAUACAUCCUUCAAAUGGAUUUAACUGCAGGAGACAGAGAAAAUUCUUCACAGGGACUUUAAUCUACAUGUGUAUUCCAACAAGAUGAUUCAGUUGACUACUAUAGAGCAUGAGAACAUGGCUCAAGAAGACACCAGGCAAGGAGACUGUGAGGCACAUGCAGCAGGCCUGAAGCAGAGCUACCCAGUUGACUUGCAGACCCAUGAACAAGAAAAUCAACAUUUACUAUGGUAAGCCACUGAAACUUUGAGUUUGUUGUCAUUUUAAUAAAUACAUUUUUUAAUUGAUUUCAGAGAUGAAGGGGGAGAGAGAGAGA